rnacentral:rRNA from 1 species
UACGUAGGGGGCAAGCGUUGUCCGGAUUUAUUGGGCGUAAAGAGCGUGUAGGCGGCUUGGUAGGUCCGCUGUGAAAACUCGAGGCUCAACCUCGAGAUGUCGGCGGAAACCACUUGGCUAGAGUCCGGAAGAGGAGAGUGGAAUUCCUGGUGUAGCGGUGAAAUGCGUAGAUAUCCGGAGGAACACCGAUGGCGAAGGCAGCUUCCUGGCCCACAACUGACGCUGAGGUGCGAAAGCGUGGGGAGCGAACGGG